rnacentral:rRNA from 1 species
CUCCCAUAUGGUCGACCUGCAGGCGGCCGCGAAUUCACUAGUGAUUCGUAUUACCGCGGCUGCUGGCACAGAGUUAGCCGGUGCUUAUUCUGUCGGUAACGUCAAAACACUAACGUAUUAGGUUAAUGCCCUUCCUCCCAACUUAAAGUGCUUUACAAUCCGAAGACCUUCUUCACACACGCGGCAUGGCUGGAUCAGGCUUUCGCCCAUUGUCCAAUAUUCCCCACUGCUGCCUCCCGUAGGAGUCUGGACCGUGUCUCAGUUCCAGUGUGACUGAUCAUCCUCUCAGACCAGUUACGGAUCGUCGCCUUGGUGAGCCAUUACCUCACCAACUAGCUAAUCCGACCUAGGCUCAUCUGAUAGCGCAAGGCCCGAAGGUCCCCUGCUUUCUCCCGUAGGACGUAUGCGGUAUUAGCGUCCGUUUCCGAGCGUUAUCCCCCACUACCAGGCAGAUUCCUAGGCAUUACUCACCCGUCCGCCGCUCUCAAGAGGUGCAAGCACCUCUCUACCGCUCGACUUGCAUGUGUUAGGCCUGCCGCCAGCGUUCAAUCUGAGCCAGGAUCAAACUCUAAUCGAAUUCCCGCGGCCG